rnacentral:rRNA from 1 species
CCUACGGGAGACAGCAGUGAGGAAUAUUGGUCAAUGGACGAGAGUCUGAACCAGCCAAGUAGCGUGAAGGAUGACUGCCCUAUGGGUUGUAAACUUCUUUUAUAAAGGAAUAAAACGUGGCACGUGUGCCUUUUUGCAUGUACUUUAUGAAUAAGGAUCGGCUAACUCCGUGCCAGCAGCCGCGGUAAUACGGAGGAUCCGAGCGUUAUCCGGAUUUAUUGGGUUUAAAGGGAGCGUAGAUGGGUUGUUAAGUCAGUUGUGAAAGUUUGCGGCUCAACCGUAAAAUUGCAAUUGAUACUGGCAGGCUGGAGUACAGUUGAGGUAGGCGGAAUUCGUGGUGUAGCGGUGAAAUGCGUAGAUAUCACGAAGAACCCCGAUUGCGAAGGCAGCUUACUAAACUGUGACUGACAUUGAUGCUCGAAAGUGUGGGUAUCAAACAGGAUUAGAUACCCGUGUAGUC